UACGUAGGGGGCAAGCGUUGUCCGGAAUCAUUGGGCGUAAAGCGCGUGUAGGCGGCUCGGUAAGUCUGCUGUGAAAGUCCAGGGCUCAACCCUGGGAUGCCGGUGGAUACUGUCGAGCUCGAGUCCGGAAGAGGCGAGUGGAAUUCCUGGUGUAGCGGUGGAAUGCGUAGAUAUCGGGAGGAACACCAGUGGCGAAGGCGGUUACCUGGAGCUUUGCUGACGCUGAUGCGCGAAAGCGUGGGGAGCGAUCCGG
rnacentral:rRNA from 1 species